rnacentral:pre_miRNA from 1 species
UCUUAUGGAUGAGCAAAGAAAGUGGUUUUUUGAGAUGGAAUCUAUUUGUGAUGAUGGUGCUGUGAA